UUAAAGGGAAUUGACGGGGGAAGCAACCACAACAGGUGGAGCCUGCGGUUUAAUCGGACUCAACGCCGGAAAUCUUACCGGGACCGACAGCAAUAUGAAGGCCAGGCUGAAGACUUUGCCGGAUUAGCUGAGAGGUGGUGCAUGGCCGUCGUCAGUUCGUACUGUGAAGCAUCCUGUUAAGUCAGGCAACGAGCGAGACCCACGCCCACAGUUGCCAGCGUACUCUCUGGAGUGACGGGUACACUGUGGGACCGCCGCUGCUAAAGCGGAGGAAGGAAUGGGCAACGGUAGGUCAGUAUGCCCCGAAUAUCCCGGGCUACACGCGAGCUACAAUGGUUGGUACAAUGGGUAUCUACCCCGAAAGGGGACGGGAAUCUCCUAAAACCAAUCUUAGUUCGGAUUGAGGGCUGCAACUCGCCCUCAUGAAGCUGGAAUCCGUAGUAAUCGCGUUUCAACAGAACGCGGUGAAUACGUCCCUGCUCCUU
rnacentral:rRNA from 1 species